rnacentral:rRNA from 1 species
AUUGAACGCUGGCGGAAUGCUUUACACAUGCAAGUCGAGCGGCAGCGCGGGGGCAACCCUGGCGGCGAGCGGCGAACGGGUGAGUAACACAUCGGAACGUACCCAGUGGUGGGGGAUAGCCCGGCGAAAGCCGGAUUAAUACCGCAUACGACCUGAGGGGGAAAGUGGGGGACCGCAAGGCCUCACGCCGUUGGAGCGGCCGAUGUUCGAUUAGCUAGUUGGUAGGGUAAAGGCCUACCAAGGCGACGAUCGAUAGCUGGUCUGAGAGGACGACCAGCCACACUGGAACUGAGACACGGUCCAGACUCCUACGGGAGGCAGCAGUGGGGAAUUUUGGACAAUGGGGGCAACCCUGAUCCAGCCAUUCCGCGUGAGUGAAGAAGGCCU